rnacentral:lncRNA from 1 species
GGUAGCGAAGGGCUGGAGGCAAACACCGAGCUCCCCCUGAGUCGCUUGGGAGCAGGGAGGGUUCUGCUACCCUGAGGGGCCCUCCCCGCGGGGCAGAGGCUCAUUGUCCAGACUCUGAGCCAUCUUUUGGGGCCACUCAAAUAUCCACCCCUUGACUCUCUGUCAGUGACUGAACUCGUGACUGGCUCCAUGUUGAAAGCCUGGGGGAUAAGGUGGGAGGAACUCACGGCAUGUACUUCUGAAUGUAUGCUUGCCUUGAGGAACAACGACAGGACACAGGGAUGUGGACAUUUUCAAUCAGAUGGUUCUGUCCGACAGUGUCGGCACACAGAGAGCGUUCCACUGACUGACCUCUUUUUGUUUUCAAAUGAAGAGAAGCCAAGAAUAGGACGGCCUAGGAAGCUCAUCCUCGUCUAUGGCCAAAAGUUGGUUUCUCGUUUCUAGAAGAUGAAAGAUGUGAUGAUUUAGGAAAAAGCCAUUCUCUCUGCUUACUGCUUGCUGUUUGAGAUGUGCGUCUUCACACAUUCCUACCGACGUAUCUGACCGAUGCUGCCAAGAUUACCUGAUGGGAUGGAUG